UAUGUUUUUCUACUCACAUAAAGAGUACAUAACAUUCCCUCAGACGAGCUGAGAGUAGAGAGGCCGGGCUUCCUUCCCCAUGGGAGAGGUGGUUAAGAAAGGAGCCUCACCUAGACUGCCCUUGCCUCACAUUA